rnacentral:piRNA from 1 species
UACCUUUUGAACGUCAUUCUA